ensembl:lncRNA novel transcript, antisense to MLN
GGCAGUUGCAGACAGGCUGUGCCCCAGAGCCUCGAGACCUCCCUGGGCACUAACUCAUGUAUUCAUCCCUAUUGGAGUCUCAGUUUCAGACAGGGUGGAGCAUGAAAGUCCCUUUCUUCAUCUCCUUAGGUUAAAGGGAACCAAACAUCUGCAUAGAUACUCAGCGUCCCCUGAAGUCUAAAGUAAAAGGCAGCAGGGAGGCAGAGCCAGCAGUUCCAUUUUCCUUAGGCUCCACUGCCUGAGUUCCAUGAGGCCUGCCUUUUUUUCUUCUGGGCCCUAAAGAGGAGGCUUUGGCCACUGCUACAUGGACCGCAGCCUUGUUUCCCGCCUCUGGGCGCUGGCUCCCAUUGGUCCCUCGCUCUUGAUCUCUCAAGGCCCCCAGCUGAGUUCCACCUUUUCCCUGCAGGCUUCCAAGCACGCUCCAGCCCUUGGUGAUUCUCCUUCCUUGAACCUGAGCACUUAGCAUCAGCACCACUGAUGGGGCAAUUCAUCAUGUCCUGCCUGUGACAUCUCUCUUUUGUCUUCGACUGUUAGUUAAUUUUUCAUAUGUUCGUAUCUUGGCACCCCAGCCUUCUCCCUGGAGAUGGGGAGGUGCUGAGAUUCUUCUGCAUGCUCGGGCUCAUCGCCCAGGGUGGCCUCUUGUACUGCAGAGCAGCUCGGUAAAUAUUUAUUGGCUUGUUAAUUUAAAAUUUCCUCCAAAGGAUAGGCAGGGGUGGGAAAGAUGUUGCUCAUACGAGCCACUGACAUAUCUGAGUGAUGCCAGUGAAGGCGUGAAGGUGGCCAGAGAGGUGGCUGGAACUGGGGGUUAUCUUGGGUCCUGGUCCUUUACACUUUCCUUGGUAUCACCGGCAUAGGUCAUAGUGACCUCAGCCUUGCUAGCAGGGCAGGCAGCAGGGGGUUCUUACCUGCAUCCUCUGGAGUUCGCCAUAGGUGAAGAUGGGGACGAAGGCUUCCGUCUGGGAGGCCAGCAUGGCAGCUACAUGCACCACCAGCAGAGCAGCCACAGCCUUACGGGAUACCAUCUUGGAGCUGGACAAUGACAAGGAGCUCUUGUCACUAAGUUUGGGGUACAGUGGCAGACUGCUGUGUCCGAGGCAGGGGCCCUCAGUUCUGGCCCAUGCCCUACCUCUAGCUGUGUGAUCUUCAGCCAAAGCUCAGCCUGUCUGGAUUUGGGCCUGGUAUCAGAGCUUGAGCAGAUGAGCUCUGAGCACCUUUCUGCCCCAGAGCUGUGGCAGCUGGCCAAGCUCCUGGGAAAGGCCAUCCAGCUCCCUGCCACACACCAGGGAGGAAUCAUUUCACUUGUCCACCCUUCUCUUUUGUUACAGGUAAGGUCUUCUGGGGUCAGCUGGACUCAUAAGGCAGGAGGGACCUCAUCUUUCAGAGAAGGAAUGCCUAGAUUAUCAACAGAACUGUGCCCCAAGACCCAGAGAGACCUCCCUGCCCCAGUGCCUAUUAGAAUGACAAAAGGGGUGGACCCAAGCCCAGAUGACCAGGGCUCUGCCUGGAAGUGCCAGGCCAGGACCCUGGGUCUGUAGAGCCUCUGCCAUUGCAAAGGAUGAGCCAGAUGGAAAAAUUCAGCAUGGAGCUGUAUCCCUGAGCCAAGAGGGCACCCCCUUCCCCGUUGGGGGAGCGAUGGCUUGGGAACAAGCCCCCCGCCCCGUGCUCCAGUGCAUCUAGCUGCCUUUGGCCACCAUCCUGAAACAGCAGGGAGCAGGCUUCCUCUUUCCUCACACCCUGGAACCCAGUGAUUGCUGACCAGGAAGCAGAACCUUCCAAGGCUGCAGGCUUGCAUCCUGCCUCUCAGCCAAGACCUGUCUCCUCAGUCAUCUGAAACCACCCUACCACGCCAGACGCUCCCUCUGCCUUCUUGCUAUUCCAGCUCUCUCUUCUUCCCACUUCCUAUUUUCUCUCCAUUUUGUUCAAACUCCAUGAACAAGAACAACAGAGCUCAGACAGCGAAAGCCUCCCCAUCCCAGCUGUAUGCAAAUUCCCAGCAGGCUGAAAGGACCACCCGCCCACCCAAGACCACCUCCCAGGAAGCCGAGGCCUUGUGUGCAGCCCCAGAGGAGCUUGAGCUGAACGGAGAAUGGGUUGAGGUGGGUGGGACCCAUCACUGUUCUUCCCUUCUCAUUCCUGCGCGUUCCCUGAAGAGUCUCUGGGGCCUGCUUUUCCCCCCAGCAGAGACGGAUGUGUCACAUUUAUGGCAUCCCAUUUCCUUCACAGAGAGGCUAUAGAUCCUGUUUCAUUC